GGCUAACGCUGGCGGCGUGUCUUAGCCAUGCAAGUCGAGCGGACUUAUGGGGUAACUUAUAAGUCAGCGGCGGACGGCGGAGUAACACGUAGCUAACCUACCCUCUGGACGGGGAUAACCUACCGAAAGGUGGGCUAAUACCCGAUGUAGUCAUCCUGUAUAGGGGUGAUGAAAGGUGGGCUUCUGUUUACAAGCUCAUGCUGGAGGAGGGGGCUGCGGCCUAUCAGGUAGUUGGUAGGGUAAUAGCCUACCAAGCCGAUGACGGGUAGCCGGCCUGAGAGGGUGACCGGCCCGAGGGGCACUGAGAUACGGGUCCCACUCCUACGGGAGGCAGCAGGCUAGAAAUUUGGGCAAUGGGGGAAACCCUGACCCAGUGACGCCGCGUGCAGGAAGGAGCCCUUCGGGGUGUAAACUGCUGUUGUGUAGGGAGAAGGGUACUAAGGUGAACAAUCUUAGUACUUGACGGUACUACAGGAGGAAGCCCAGGCUAACCUCGUG
rnacentral:rRNA from 1 species